rnacentral:lncRNA from 10 species
CUUGGUUAGAAUCAAGCUGCUGCUUUAGCUAUUGAAAACCACGUAUGUGGUAAAUCAAGUAACAAGUGCGAUGUACGUACAGGGUCAGUCAUAGUGUAAUUAUGCCUUUAUGGCAGCUAAAUUAAGCAUUUUCAACGUGUUCACCAUUAGUCACCUUUUGAACAUACUUUGUCUUCAUUCUUAAAUAUUAUGUUUCACUCUUUACUAUAGAAUAUGUUGUUAAGAUUGUUUUGUCUAAAAUCAAGUAUCGACAAGUUUAAAAAAAAGAUUGUUUUGUGUUUGGUUUUCUGUAUUUCCACUAUGCUCUAUGGAACUAUGGGUUUGUUUUUGUUCAAUUUGUUUGGUAUUUAUUAGACUUCUUGAAUCUGUGGAUUAGUGUCUUUCAUUAAUUCUGUAAAAUUCUCAGCCAUUUUAUAUGCAUAUAUUGCUUCUUCCCAUUGUUUCUCUUUUUUUUUUUAUCGAUUUAACUAAACCUUUUCACUCUUUUCUCUAUGUCUUUUACUCUGUUCUUUCGUAGUACAUUCUGGAUAAUUUAUUCUCAAGUUAUUUCCAUUGUUAUUAAACUCGGCCUCUGAAAUCUUAAAUCAUAUAUUGCAAUUUUUAGUUUCUGAAGUUCUGUUUGGUUUGUGACACUUUUACAGUUUUUUAUUUCUUACUAUUUUGAGGCUUAAUUUUAUUUCUUUAAACAUGGAAAGUAUAGUUGUUUUUAUAAUCUCUAUGUUUAAUUCCACUGUCUGAAUUCCCUUUGGGGGAGUCUGUUUCUGUUGUCCAUUAUUCCUGCUGUUUUACUUCCCAGUUCACCUUUACUUUGAAGCUGUAGUUCUUUUGGGCACAAGAUUAAGAUGGAGAGGGAGGUAGUUGUCAGACUCCACUCCCUGGAUGGGCUCCUGGCUUGAACUUGUUUCUGUUAUCUCAUAAAGGCACUGAAACUUUAGCUUUUAGGUCAGAGAAGUCCUCAGGAUGAAAUCCAUUUUGAAUAUUGGGCUUAAUUUCUGGUUUUCACCUUCUAGAUUGUGUCCAAAUUCUUUACUAUCUUGUUAGCUUUUCUAUUUAAGAAUUAAUAUUUUUGGCUGGGCGUGGUAGCUUACACUUGUAAUCCCAGCACUUUGGCUGGUCUCGAACUUCUGACCUCAGGUGAUCCACCUGCCUCAGUCUCCCAGAGUGCUAGGGUUACAGGCAUGAGCCACUGCGCC